UCCACCUACGGGGGGCAGCAGUGGGGGAUAUUGCACAAUGGAGGAAACUCUGAUGCAGCGACGCCGCGUGAGUGAAGAGGUCAUUCGUGAUGUAAAGCUCUAUCAGCAGGGAAGAAAAUGACGGUACCUGAGUAAGAAGCCCCGGCUAACUACGUGCCAGCAGCCGCGGUAAUACGUAGGGGGCAAGCGUUAUCCGGAUUUACUGGGUGUAAAGGGAGCGUAGACGGCCAGACAAGUCUGAAGUGAAAAUCCAGCGCUUAACGUUGGAAGUGCUUUGGAAACUGCCGGGCUGGAGUGCAGGAGGG
rnacentral:rRNA from 1 species